rnacentral:rRNA from 1 species
CAUGGCGUCAGGACGAACGCUGGCGGCGUAGCUUAACACAUGCAAGUCGAACGGAACACCCUUGACAGAGGUUCGGCCGAAUGAAGAGGAAUGUUUAGUGGCGGGACUGGUGAGUAACGCGUGAGGAACCUGCCUUCAGAGGGGGACGAACAGUUGGAAACGACUGCUAAUACCGCAUGAAGCAGCGGGGGGACAUCCCCUUGCUGUCAAAGAUUUAUCGCUGAAAGAUGGCCUCGCGUCUGAUUAGCUAGUUGGUGGGGUAACGGCCCACCAAGGCGACGAUCAGUAGCCGGACUGAGAGGUUGACCGGCCACAUUGGGACUGAGAUACGGCCCAGACUCCUACGGGAGGCAGCAGUGGGGAAUAUUGGGCAAUGGACGCAAGUCUGACCCAGCAACGCCGCGUGAAGGAAGAAGGCUUUCGGGUUGUAAACUUCUUUUAACAGGGAAGAGAAGAAGACGGUACCUGUUGAAUAAGCCACGGCUAACUACGUGCCAGCCGCGGC